AAAUACAGAGACAACCUUGAGAUUGCUGCAGAACUUGCAGUGUCAAGCUUGCAGGCACUUCUACACAGGACGCUCAGUGACUACAAAAACGCUGGACAUGAUUCCCAGUCAACCAGUUUAGAGAUCAGAUUAAUUCAAAGCCAGGAUGAUAUUCGCAACCCAGAAGUCAACUUUAAAGCAGAAAUAUACAGCUAAAGUUGCGAUUUAAUUUGGACAUGUAUGUAUUAAUGUGUAUUAUUAUUAAAGAAUGAAGAGAAUUAUGAUAAAUUGAGAAGGAAAGUUUAUUUAUUUGUUUUUUAUUGAUCAAGUUUAGAAAUGGGAAAGUUUUAGAAUCUAA